rnacentral:rRNA from 1 species
CUACGGGGGGCUGCAGUGGGGAAUAUUGGACAAUGGGGGAAACCCUGAUCCAGCAAUGCCGCGUGUGUGAAGAAGGCCUGCGGGUUGUAAAGCACUUUCGGUUGGGAGGACUGCUUCUAGCACUAAUAUUGUUGGAAGUUGACGUUACCUUCAGAAGAAGCACCGGCUAACUCCGUGCCAGCAGCCGCGGUAACAGGGAGGGUGCAAGCGUUAAUCGGAAUUACUGGGCGUAAAGCGCGCGGAGGCGGCUAGAUCAGUCGGGUGUGAAAGCCCCGGGCUUAACCUGGGAACUGCAUCCGAUACUGUCUAGCUUGAGUACAGGAGAGGAGAGUGGAAUUCCACAUGUAGCGGUGAAAUGCGUAGAUAUGUGGAGGAACACCAAUGGCGAAGGCAGCUCUCUGGCCUGAUACUGACGCUGAGGUGCGAAAGCGUGGGGAGCAAACAGGAUUAGAUACCCCCGUAGUC